UACAAAUAAAAUAAACUGGACCAAUUCCUACUUGGAAUCGUUUUUAAAAUUACAAUCCCAGUGGAAUUGUUUGGAGGAUUUGGUUUCAGAUUUAAUGUGCACUAGUUUUGGUUUCAGCCAGGGGCUUGUUGUGUUGCCAUGGAGUACAGUAAGCAGCGCUCUAGUGUGGUUUUAUUUUGAAUUGAAAAAGCCCUGUACACUGCAACCCACCAUUGAAUCAAAAUAAAACCUUAUUUGUGAAAUAAGAAUGUGACCCAUUUCAACUCCACCCCUCAAAGAAUCUGAAUCAAGAAGCUAUUAGAACCGGACUCGAAAGGAAGGAUCAGAAUUGGAAUCGGAAUCAUUAAAAUCCAAAUGAUCCCCAACCCUACAUAUGACUGUAAAAUAAACAUCUUUGAGUUUUGGACUUUUGGUCAAACAAAACAAGAAAUCUGAGGAUGGGACGUGGGCUUUGGAAAGAGAUUUGUAUUUGUUUCACCACUUUUCUUUUUUAUAUUCAUAGACUAAAAAAAUAUUGGAAUUGACAAUUAAAAAAGACCGCUGCCGCUCUCAAUAUAUUAAAUUGUUUAUUGACAUUAAAAUAGAAAGCAAUGUGACUCAUGAACAUGAGGUCAGAAGAGAAAUUAAUUUUUCAAGAAAAUCCAACAUUGCAGUUGCUCUGGUUAUAUAUUUUGCUAAAGGUAUUGUAGUAAAAAGAGAGAGUUUGACAGUAUUAAAGGUUAUUUGUGAGUAAAGGGAACUGAUUGCAGCAGUUAGACCUGCACUGAUAGUAAAGCAUUGUGAAAGGCUCUUUGUGUGGCACGGCAGGCUUAAAGCAUUAGAUGGUGGGAACUGGAAGACAAGGACAUAUGGGACUAAGAGUUUUGUGACCCCCUCAGCCUCCUCAUGCCCAUCUGUUGCUUGUCCCUUCAGGCUUAACACUGAAGGCAGAAAGGUUUUCAGG